GCUCUAUAACCCUUUGUGAACAUACCUACAACUGUUGCUUCGGCGGGUAGGCCGUCCCCUGAAAAGGACGCCUCCCGGCCCGGACCGGACCCCCCGCGGGACCGGACCCGGCGCCCGCCGGAGGAUAACCAAACUCUAUUGUAACGACGUUUCUUCUGAGUGGCAUAAGCAAAAUAAUCAAAACUUUUAACAACGGAUCUCUUGGUUCUGGCAUCGAUGAAGAACGCAGCGAAAUGCGAUAAGUAAUGUGAAUUGCAGAAUUCAGUGAAUCAUCGAAUCUUUGAACGCACAUUGCGCCCGCCAGCAUUCUGGCGGGCAUGCCUGUUCGAGCGUCAUUUCAACCCUCAAGCUCUGCUUGGUGUUGGGGCUCUACGGUCGACGUAGGCCCUCAAAGGUAGUGGCGGACCCUCCCGGAGCCUCCUUUGCGUAGUAACAUUUCGUCUCGCACUGGGAUCCGGAGGGACUCUUGCCGUAAAACCCCCCAAUUUUCCAAAGGUUGACCUCGGAUCA
rnacentral:rRNA from 1 species